GCCUGGCUGGCUCAGUCGGUAGAGCAUGUGACUCUGGAUCUCAGGGUGGUGAAUUCAAACCCCACACUGGGUA
rfam:Ailuropoda melanoleuca scaffold1463_120, whole genome shotgun sequence.